UAGGGAAUCUUCGGCAAUGGACGAAAGUCUGACCGAGCAACGCCGCGUGAGUGAAGAAGGUUUUCGGAUCGUAAAACUCUGUUGUUAGAGAAGAACAAGGACGUUAGUAACUGAACGUCCCCUGACGGUAUCUAACCAGAAAGCCACGGCUAACUACGUGCCAGCAGCCGCGGUCAUACGUAGGUGGCAAGCGUUGUCCGGAUUUAUUGUGCGUAAAGCGAGCGCAGGCGGUUUCUUAAGUCUGAUGUGAAAGCCCCCGGCUCAACCGGGGAGGGUCAUUGGAAACUGGGAGACUUGAGUGCAGAAGAGGAGAGUGGAAUUCCAUGUGUAGCGGUGAAAUGCGUAGAUAUAUGGAGGAACACCAGUGGCGAAGGCGGCUCUCUGGUCUGUAACUGACGCUGAGGCUCGAAAGCGUGGGGAGCAAACAGG
rnacentral:rRNA from 1 species